GAUGAACGCUAGCGGCAGGCUUAAUACAUGCAAGUCGAGGGGCAUCAAGGUACACGAAAGUGUAUUGUUGGCGACCGGCGGACGGGUGAGUAAUAGGUAGGUAACCUACCUCAUACUGAGGCAUAGCUGGGAGAAAUUCCAGGUAAUUCCUCAUGAGGUUAUAUGACACAUGUGAUAUAAUCAAAGGUAUCGCAAGGUACUGGUAUGAGAUGGGCUUACUGACCAUUAGCUAGUUGGUGAGAUAAGAGCUCACCAAGGCGAAGAUGGUUAGGGGUUUUGAGAGAGAGAUCCCCCACAUUGGAACUGAGAUACGGUCCAGACUCCUACGGGAGGCAGCAGUAGGGAAUAUUGGGCAAUGGGCGGAAGCCUGACCCAGCCAUGCCGCGUGAAGGAAGGCGGCCUUAUGGGUUGUAAACUUCUUUACUAUGCGACUAACUAGAUUUACGAGAUAAUUCUAUAGAAUGUAGCAUAGCAAAAGCACCGGCUAA
rnacentral:rRNA from 1 species